rnacentral:pre_miRNA from 1 species
CAAGUACUCCCUCCGUCCGGAAAUACUUGUCGAAGGAAUGGAUGUAUCUAGACGUAUUUUAGUUUUAAAUACAUCCAUUUUUAUGCAUUUCUUCGACGAGUAUUUCCGGACGGAGGGAGUAUUUC